rnacentral:rRNA from 1 species
GAGUAAUGUCUGGGAAACUGCCUGAUGGAGGGGGAUAACUACUGGAAACGGUGGCUAAUACCGCAUAACGUCGCAAGACCAAAGAGGGGGACCUUCGGGCCUCUUGCCAUCAGAUGUGCCCAGAUGGGAUUAGCUUGUUGGUGAGGUAACGGCUCACCAAGGCGACGAUCCCUAGCUGGUCUGAGAGGAUGACCAGCCACACUGGAACUGAGACACGGUCCAGACUCCUACGGGAGGCAGCAGUGGGGAAUAUUGCACAAUGGGCGCAAGCCUGAUGCAGCCAUGCCGCGUGUAUGAAGAAGGCCUUCGGGUUGUAAAGUACUUUCAGCGGGGAGGAAGGUGUUGUGGUUAAUAACCGCAGCAAUUGACGUUACCCGCAGAAGAAGCACCGGCUAACUCCGUGCCAGCAGCCGCGGUAAUACGGAGGGUGCAAGCGUUAAUCGGAAUUACUGGGCGUAAAGCGCACGCAGGCGGUCUGUCAAGUCGGAUGUGAAAUCCCCGGGCUCAACCUGGGAACUGCAUUCGAAACUGGCAGGCUUGAGUCUUGUAGAGGGGGGUAGAAUUCCAGGUGUAGCGGUGAAAUGCGUAGAGAUCUGGAGGAAUACCGGUGGCGAAGGCGGCCCCCUGGACAAAGACUGACGCUCAGGUGCGAAAGCGUGGGGAGCAAACAGGAUUAGAUACCCUGGUAGUCCACGCCGUAAACGAUGUCUACUUGGAGGUUGUGCCCUUGAGGCGUGGCUUCCGGAGCUAACGCGUUAAGUAGACCGCCUGGGGAGUACGGCCGCAAGGUUAAAACUCAAAUGAAUUGACGGGGGCCCGCACAAGCGGUGGAGCAUGUGGUUUAAUUCGAUGCAACGCGAAGAACCUUACCUGGUCUUGACAUCCACGGAAGUUUUCAGAGAUGAGAAUGUGCCUUCGGGAACCGUGAGACAGGUGCUGCAUGGCUGUCGUCAGCUCGUGUUGUGAAAUGUUG